AUACGGAGGGUGCAAGCGUUACUCGGAAUCACUGGGCGUAAGGCGCGCGCAGGCGGCUAUUUAAGUUGGAUGUGAAAGCCUACGGCUCAACCGUAGAACUGCAUCCAAAACUAUUUAGCUAGAGUGUGGGAGAGGAAGAUGGAAUUAGUUGUGUAGGGGUAAAAUCCGUAGAGAUAACUAGGAAUACCAAAAGCGAAGGCAAUCUUCUGGAACACUACUGACGCUGAGGCGCGAAAGCGUGGGGAGCAAACGGGAUUAGAAACCCUAGUAGUCC
rnacentral:rRNA from 1 species